rnacentral:lncRNA from 1 species
UGAUGGACUCCUGCGCUCCUGGCGGCGUUUAGGAGCAUGUCGACCGGUCACGAGUGGGAUGCGGCAGCGGACCCUCCAAGUGCGUUCUUUCAUGUUAGUAGGAUAGCUCAGUAGGACACAUUCACCUGGCUCUGUUAGCCGACGUUAUUACAAAAGUUUUCUUUUUGAGAAGGCGUCGUUGGGGUUUUGAGUUUAGCAGAGAUUCAGUCUUGGCCCGGAAGGCUAGGAGAACUGUGAUCAAUCUUCAGCCAGUGGAAUAGCUAUCGUUGAGGUUGGAAAUGGUCGCUAACGGUGUAUCAUACGCUGUGGUGCAGAUUGUGGGUCAUCUCGUGAAACUAUUCGGUGUCGGGAUGUUCUUACUGAGGUGGCUCGGCUUUUCAGCCGCGGGUCCAGUGGCCGGCUCGACGGCUGCCUGUGCUCAAUCUUACAUCGGCAACGUAGCGGGCGGCUCCAUUUUCGCCCUCAUCCAGAAAAUGUGCAUGCCUUGAAUUGCUUCGUCGCCAAAGAUUGCAGAAUGGGGAGUGUGCUUAGUGAUUCUUAUCGAGUAACUGUAUUAAUUGCUUCCAUUGCUAACCUGAUUUCGCAGCUCCCUCCAAAUGUACAGGCCCGUUUUCCGGCCGUAUCGGAACCAGCUGUUGCAAUAAAUCCAGUCGUACGGUUACUCGUAAUCGCUGAUUUUUGCAUAAGGUAUGUCCCUGGGACAGGCUAUGGGCAUUCGUGCAAGAAUUAUUUUCUCGGACCGAGGACCGCAUAUCAGCUUAUUCACAUCUACUCAGCAGGGCGGUCGAAGGUAAGUUCAAAGAAAUCAAUGGAUCGUAUUCGAUAGUGGUUUCAUGUAUUGUCUUGUUCAAAACAAUAGGACAUAACCUCAAACCAAAGUUGUAGGAUAUCUAGACCGCGUUAAACAGAAAGGAACCAAGCCACAUCAGCUAUUGCCAAAAAUUGGGCAAUUUAAUUUUUUACAUGAAAACGGUUGUGCAGAUUUUCUUGCAAAUCUCAGUGAAAAUUCUCCAUGGUGCGAAGCAAAUUCCCUAAAAUUUUCAAAGAAAUCCGAACAAACGUUCUCUCGUAAAAAAUUUAAUGGCCUAGUUAAACUUGGCAAUAGCUGAUGUGGCUCGGUUCCUUUCUGUUAUUAAACUCGGUCCAUCUGUCCUGCCGUGAUAGGGGAGAGAGCCGUAAGUGAAAAAAUGAAGUUUUGAGAAAACGGGCUCAGAAGCUUCUGACAAGAUCAUUUUAUUGAAAGAAGCCUCCGUUCUUUGUCAAAUUGCCACUAAUCGUCCGGAAGACUCCCAGAAAUCGUAUGGAUGAUUAAAAAUCGACUGAUUUUAUUUCCAAUACAUAAAAAGGGUAUUUUUAAUUUUCAUGCUAGGUUAUUGUUAGGCAAGACAGCUGUAAGUGCUAUCUUCUGCAUGCUUUCGUGGUUGCGUUUUCGACGCACAACAAACACAUUUUCAGGUUAGACAUUGGCAGAAGAGGGCGGCCUUUACUGGAAAGCACUGUUUUCAUUGGCUCUCAUGCAUCUACGGCUGUCUUGAAAAAGAACUGUGUCAUUUUUGUGCACUUACGGCUUUUACAUACGUCUCGUUUUCAUUAAAUUGGGAUGAAUUUUGCUGUUUUAGCUGUCUCGGUAAUUUCAUCUAAAAGAGUUUAGACGAAUUUUGAAGAAAACUCGAUUUUGAAAAUUUGGCACUUACGGCUCUCUUCGCUAUCACGGCAGUGUCAUAAAAGCUGAAAAUGAGAAAUUUCGUAGCAAUUUCACUACUCUUGGCCAAUAAGUACUCAUACGAAUCAAAAAUCUAUCACUAGAUACCCGUUCUGCCACUUAACUCAAUUGACCUUUGAGGCUAUGUUUAGUUUUGAACCAAUCGAUAUCGAUGCAAUCUCACCAGUUUGAUGUAUCGAUACGAUCUACGGCUUUUAAGCGGCGGAUACUUUGAUAAGAUUCAGGGCAGGGUUCGUGUAACCUGAAAAAGUCCCCAAGUAUCCUUAAUAUAUCCGAGGAGUCCCUAAGUAUCCUUAGUAUACCCUGAGUGGUUCUAGAGUCCCUUUAUACCCAGAGUUUCGACAACUCACUUCUGGUUGGGCUGAAAGUGGCCUAAAAAAAAUCCAAUUCUGAUUGGUUCUCGCUCAUGGAGUCACAAACGAGUGCACCAAGAUGGCGGUACCUCGAAUGUGAACAAAAAUAAUGAAAAUAUACCUAAUUGUGGUUUAUCAUAAAUUGUUAUUUCCAUCGGUCCAAAAUGAAAAUAGAAUAAUAAACUAUUCACAAACCAAUCUCAUUUUCUUUUUAAUUGAUCAAUUUUGUUGAUGUUGUUGUUUUUGGAUGACAGACAUCGCAGGAUUCCCUAUCCUUAUCCCUCAAUAUCGUUCGUUUGGGUGCACUCGUUUGUGCCUCCAUGGCCAGCCAAGGCCGGCUGCCAGUCAGCUGAUAAUCGAGUUGUCUUAACUCUGGGUAUAAAGGGACUCUAGUGGUUCCUAAGUAAUCAUUGUCUUAUAUUCAAGUCACUGAUUCGAGUCUCGGGUUCUUUAGGCCCGAGUUCGUCGGAUUUGAAUCUAAAGACGAAGGCGACAAAGAAGAGGUGGAGGAUGGGAGAGAAAAAAGCGUAGAUAAAGCAAUUCUUGUUCCUAUUUUUCCUCUUCCUGCUUUUAUUUUCCUUUUUAAUCGCCAUCUUAUGCUUCUCCCUCGACAUGUAGAACUGUAGGUCCAUUAAAACAGACGACAAGUAAAAGGAGAGCAAAAGAAAUUAAAGAAUGUUUUCGCACUGCACAACUUUUCCGCAGAGAACUUGUGAAGGUGAAAGUGCUGGCCAGGGUCUAUAAAAACGUAAAAAACCGCUAUUGGUAUUUACUGCGUCUUUAAAUACACGCAAACCGGAAAUGAUAGCUGUUUCCGUUCGCUCAGAAGACGGAAACCUGCAUUACUUUUUGAACACCCCUAUAUCCAUAUGUUUUUUUCCCCCCCAGGACCCGGAAGCAACUCCCGAUGAUCGUUAGGGAUGAUACAAGUUCCUUGACGUGACAUGCCUGCCAUGCAGGUGUUCUGUGAUCUGGACGAUUUUUAAUUUUUUUACCCGAAUAUUAUCAUAGUUUUAGAUUUAUGUGCUUAUUUUUUCAAUUAUUUCGAUGUAUAAAAAUUAAAAAUAAAUAAUGCGAUUUGAUUUGAUUCAAUUUGUCUUGUGUUCAAAAUUGGCAUUCCUUCUUGGGUUACCGUUCACCUUUCUCCAACGAUAUCAAAAGUUGGACCGCGUUUAAUAGAAAAGAACAGAGCCAUGUGAGUCAUUGCCAAAAUCAUUCGGGCAAUUUAAUUUUUUACGGGAGAACGUUUGUGCGGAUUCCUUCGACAAUUUUCGAGGAAUUUGCUUCGGACUAUGGACAAAAUUCACUGAAAUUUGCACGAAAAUCACACACAACCUUUUCAUGUAAAAAGUUAGAUUGCGGAAUUAAAUUUGGCAAUAGCUGAUGUGGCAUGGUUCCUUCCUGUUCAACGCAAUCCAGUUUAAAUCAAUACUGACGAAAGGAUAGAGGUAGGAAAAAUUAUCUUGUAC